AGAAUGAACGCUGGCGGCGUGGUUAAGACAUGCAAGUCGAACGGGAUAUUAGGUGUAGCAAUACAUCUGAUGUUCAGUGGCGAACGGGUGCGUAACACGUGAACAAUCUACCUUUAAGUGUGGAAUAGCUCGGCGAAAGCCGAAUUAAUACCGCAUGUGGUGGCCUCUCUCCUGGGAGACCUACUAAAGUCGGGGACCGCAAGGCCUGACGCUUGAAGAGGAGUUCGCGGCCUAUCGAGCUAGUUGGUGAGGUAACGGCUCGACCAAGGCUAAGGACGGGUAGCGUGGUCUGAGAGGAUGAUCGAGCCACACUGGAACUGGAGACCACGGUCCCAGACCACCGUACGGGUGGCAGCAGUUUACGAAUCAUUACACAAGUGGACGAAGCC
rnacentral:rRNA from 1 species